rnacentral:rRNA from 1 species
UAGCAGUAGGGAAUCUUCCACAAUGGGCGAAAGCCUGACGGAGCAACGCCGCGUGNGUGAAGAAGGGUUUCGGCUCGUAAAACACUGUUGUAAGAGAAGAAYGACAUUGAGAGUAACUGUUCAAUGUGUGACGGUAUCUUACCAGAAAGGAACGGCUAAAUACGUGCCAGCAGCCGCGGUAAUACGUAUGUUCCAAGCGUUAUCCGGAUUUAUUGGGCGUAAAGCGAGCGCAGACGGUUAUUUAAGUCUGAAGUGAAAGCCCUCAGCUCAACUGAGGAAUUGCUUUGGAAACUGGAUGACUUGAGUGCAGUAGAGGAAAGUGGAACUCCAUGUGUAGCGGUG